UACGGAGGGUGCAAGCGUUAUCCGGAUUCACUGGGUUUAAAGGGUGCGUAGGAGGACAGGUAAGUCAGUGGUGAAAUCUCCGAGCUUAACUUGGAAACUGCCGUUGAUACUAUCUGCCUUGAAUAUUGUGGAGGUGAGCGGAAUAUGUCAUGUAGCGGUGAAAUGCUUAGAUAUGACAUAGAACACCAAUUGCGAAGGCAGCUCGCUACACAUAUAUUGACUCUGAGGCGCGAAAGCGUGGGGAGCAAACAGG
rnacentral:rRNA from 1 species